UACGUAGGGUGCGAGCGUUAAUCGGAAUUACUGGGCGUAAAGCGUGCGCAGGCGGUUCGUUAAGUCAGCUGUGAAAGCCCCGGGCUCAACCUGGGAAUUGCGGUUGAAACUGGCGAACUAGAAUCUGGCAGAGGGGGGUGGAAUUCCACGUGUAGCAGUGAAAUGCGUAGAGAUGUGGAGGAACACCGAUGGCGAAGGCAGCCCCCUGGGCUGAGAUUGACGCUCAGGCACGAAAGCGUGGGGAG
rnacentral:rRNA from 1 species